rnacentral:rRNA from 1 species
AGGCAGCAGUGGGGAAUAUUGCACAAUGGGCGGAAGCCUGAUGCAGCGACGCCGCGUGAGGGAUGACGGCCUUCGGGUUGUAAACCUCUUUCAGCAGGGACGAAGCGCAAGUGACGGUACCUGCAGAAGAAGCGCCGGCCAACUACGUGCCAGCAGCCGCGGUAAGACGUAGGGCGCGAGCGUUGUCCGGAUUUAUUGGGCGUAAAGAGCUCGUAGGCGGCUUGUCGCGUCGACUGUGAAAACCCGUGGCUCAACUGCGGGCCUGCAGUCGAUACGGGCAGGCUAGAGUUCGGUAGGGGAGACUGGAAUUCCUGGUGUAGCGGUGAAAUGCGCAGAUAUCAGGAGGAACACCGGUGGCGAAGGCGGGUCUCUGGGCCGAUACUGACGCUGAGGAGCGAAAGCGUGGGGAGCGAACAGGAUUAGAUACCCUGGUAGUCCACGCUGUAAACGUUGGGCGCUAGGUGUGGGGGGCCUCUCCGGUUUCUCUGUGCCGCAGCUAACGCAUUAAGCGCCCCGCCUGGGGAGUAC